UAAGGUUCCUUCUUUUCUACGGUUUCCUUAUUACUCUCUUCCUUUUCCUUAGGUUCACUUUCUUCCUCAGUUGACUUUUUAGAGUUUUGGUUUUCUAUCCUUGGGUCAGACGGUCCUUCCACUUCCGUUCCACUUCUCAGUAUAAUUGCAUGAGCGUGGCUUCUUGGGUUAGGUUGGGGUUGGCCAGGAAAUGUACCAGUUGGGGCAGCAGUA
rnacentral:lncRNA from 1 species